rnacentral:rRNA from 1 species
ACGCUCGACACCUACGGAGGCAGCAGUGGGGAAUAUUGCACAAUGGGGGAAACCCUGAUGCAGCGACGCCGCGUGAGCGAAGAAGUAUUUCGGUAUGUAAAGCUCUAUCAGCAGGGAAGAAACUGACGGUACCUGACCAAGAAGCACCGGCUAAAUACGUGCCAGCAGCCGCGGUAAUCUGAGCGGGCUGGCAAGGC